AGAUCACGUGAGGUCAGAAGUUCGAAACCAGCCUCGACCAACAUGGUGAGAACCCGUCUCUACUAAAAAUACAAAAAUUAGCUGUGCGUUGUGGCAUCUGCCUGUAAUCCCAGCUACUCAGGAGGCCGAGGCAGGAGAAUCGCUUGAACCGGGGGGCGGAGAUAGCAGUGAGCCGAGAUCGCGCCACUGCACUCCAGCCUGGGCAACAAGAGUGAAACUCUGUCUCAAAAAAAGAGAAAAAAAAUAAAAAGACACUGUGUCCGCAGGAGGAGGAGGGGGCCAGUGGGGGAGCAGUCCAUUCAGACAUUGGGAGCAGCAGCAGCAGCAGCAGCCCUGAGCCACAGGAAGUUACAGACACAACUGAGGCCCCCUUUCAAGGGGAUCAGAGGUCCCUGGAGUUUCUGCUUCCUCCAGAGCCAGGUACGUGGCAUUUCUGACUUUCUCCUGUGCCCUGUGCCCCUGAGGUCUUCCACCUUUGACUAUGCAUGCAUUAUCUAGUCAGUCAGGGCUUACAGCAAACUGUACCCACAUUACCAUAGCCCUAGGCAGUGGUUUCUAGGUGGCGAGAAUUCC
rnacentral:lncRNA from 10 species